rnacentral:lncRNA from 1 species
CAUGCCCAUAUUCAACAUUUAUUUCAAAGAUAAGGAAAUACACAUGUAUGUACGCCCAUUUGUAAAUUCAUAUGGCGCUAUACCUUACUCUGUUUUCCAGAUUUCCAUUUUAAAUCUUCCUCAUGCAAUUUAAAUGAAUAAACAUGCACUUUAAACUCAAAUUUGAAUUCAAAAAGGCUGAAAUGAUCCUACCUCUUGCUCCCAACAACAAUGUUGAUCUGGUU